GAGUAGGAGGCCUCGGAGUAUGAUUUAGCAGGAGUUCAUGCAGAGUGCACCAAAUGUCCCCCUCCCUUCUUCUUCCUGCCGCUCCUGUUGGCCUGCAUUAGCUGUGUAUCGGUGACUUCUCACUGUAAAAAAACAGAUUUAAAUUUAAUACCUGCUCAUGAAUACAUGCAUGCAUACAAAUGUCUCUGGAAGGUGGGAGGCAGGAGAAGCAAGUGAGGUCAAAAAUGUGAAGAAGAAGGAUACACGAAGAGGUUAGUGGCGAGGAUUUUCAUAGUACUUCAUCAAACCGCCAUAACUGGAUCUCUUGUUUUAGAUUAGCUUCAGAGUUCACUUCCAUUUCGUCUUCGUGAGUCACAUGAGCUGGACCUGGAGCAGAAGGACAAAUGUGCGUUGUUAUCUGCAAAACGCUCAAGAACAAAUGAAUGCUACCCAGCCCCGGACCAGAACGAGAAUAUGACCCGAUGACCUUGAGAAAAAGUACCACUCCACUGUCGUAUAGCAGUAAAAAUUAUAUUUUAAAUGUGUCACAUGGGGUAAAUUAUUAUAUAAUGUUUUUGUGUAUAUAAGAGACUUUUAACACGGACAUAUUUGUCUCUCAUUCUCCCACCGCUUCAUGCGCUCCCCACCUCUAAACCCACGUUUCCUGUCAUUUCCAUCCACAGAUCAAACGCUUGCUGCGCAUCUUUUCACUCCUCCAGUCACGGGAGGAUAAAACGUUCAUAUUUUUAGAGUUUUUUCACAAGGUAUUCUUCAAGCUCCUCCGUGUCUGCCGCUAGUUAUCCUCGGCUCUCUUUGCAAUGGCGGCACUGUAAACAACAGCGGCGUCCUGACCAAUCACAAGCUUGCGUAAUCCGUCUCGUUCGACGGAUGUUUAAAAAAGUGGGCUCGACUCCGUACGUACUUGCGUGCCUGUCGGAGCCCUACGCAAGGACGGAUAAUGGCGUUGCGUGUCUCCGCACUGACGCAGACAGAGAAGCAUAAAUCAGGCUUAAGAUGCUGGCAGGGAAAGCACACAUAGCACGCCACAACCAAGUGGCUGGCAUCUUGUAUAGAAACAUCUGUGUGAGUAUGUACUGGAAGCACCAAGGUCAAAGUGGGUAACACCCCCUAAGGUGGUAGAGAAUACGAGAGCCAAGCUCCUGUGGGACU
rnacentral:lncRNA from 1 species